rnacentral:rRNA from 1 species
GGGGAUCAUUACCGAGUUUACAACUCCCAAACCCAAUGUGAACCAUACCAAACUGUUGCCUCGGCGGGGUCACGCCCCGGGUGCGUCGCAGCCCCGGAACCAGGCGCCCGCCGGAGGGACCAACCAAACUCUUUUCUGUAGUCCCCUCGCGGACGUUAUUUCUUACAGCUCUGAGCAAAAAUUCAAAAUGAAUCAAAACUUUCAACAACGGAUCUCUUGGUUCUGGCAUCGAUGAAGAACGCAGCGAAAUGCGAUAAGUAAUGUGAAUUGCAGAAUUCAGUGAAUCAUCGAAUCUUUGAACGCACAUUGCGCCCGCCAGUAUUCUGGCGGGCAUGCCUGUCCGAGCGUCAUUUCAACCCUCGAACCCCUCCGGGGGGUCGGCGUUGGGGACCUCGGGAGCCCCUAAGACGGGAUCCCGGCCCCGAAAUACAGUGGCGGUCUCGCCGCAGCCUCUCCUGCGCAGUAGUUUGCACAACUCGCACCGGGAGCGCGGCGCGUCCACGUCCGUAAAACACCCAACUUCUGAAAUGUUGACCUCGGAUCAGGUAGGAAUACCCGCUGAACUUAAGCAUAUCAAAAGCCCGGAGGAA